GUGCUGAAAGCCAGCAAGCGAUUCUGAAAGUGUAGUUUCGAGUUUAAGCAGAAGCUGGGGCAGAAUCUAGUACAUGCGCAAGUUGGGUCUGCAGCGGAAUUGCCUGUUGGAGUUUUCUCGUAUUUCACUUUGAUCUUGGAAAGAAGAAUUGAAGACUGAAUUUGCAACAUCAACUGCUUCUACGGAUAGAAGACCAAGAAAAGAAAGCGCUGACCACUGCAGUAGAAAGCUGGGUACCAAUAUUCGAUUCUUCAGCUGUUAAGGUUUAAUUGGACUAAGAUCUCUGGGAGUGAGGGCGAGACUAUGCUUUAAGCAUCAGCAUCAGCGUCAGGGAGCUGCAAGUUCUCAGGUUUAUGGCGUUAAUUUCGUUCUGUUCCUGUCUUCCGCGUUAGUGGUUAAAGUGAAGUUAAGUUCUGAUAAAGAAUCCUGUAUUGGUGGAGCACAGGGAAGGGCAGACUCAGACAAGUAACUACAACUACAUAAAUAAACGAACAACGUCUUGUUGCCGUUGCUUUUUGCAUUUGAGAUAGCUAUCAUCUACCAAGUGGAAAAAUCUGCUUGUUUCAUUUGAGAUAGUUAUCAUCUACUAAAAGUGGAAUAAUCUGAGAGAAAAAGCCUCCACGGGUAAAUAAUAUGAAACUCAAACUGCUGGGGCGACUCCAUCCGGUCCAGAGGACUAGCUAACCGGUGAAUAAAGUUAGUCACUCAAUUGAAGUAGGGAAUUAUGAAAAGAAGAGCGGAACAAUCUCCUUAAGAGAAGAAUCCAUGCAAUCUAACUCAAUCAAUAAAGUCAAAAAGCUUCCCAUACUAAAGUCAGUAGUCACGAGAGACUAUACUAUGAUGAAAUCCAGAGAUGAAAAGGUUCCAAUGAAUUGUAAUUCGACGCUCCUCCUCCAUUUAUUAAGACUGUAGGCCUGUUUAAGUAAUUGGAGGCUAGACCCAUAAAUCAAGCAAUUCCAUCGAAGGUAAUCAAUAAAGUUGUAGGACCGGUCGGUUAAACGGACUAGGGUAGGGCCAUGGGAGAUCGAUGGGAUUACGCGGAGCCAAGUGCUAGACUUCUCCGAUGCACCUCUGACAAAGCAUUGAAAGAAGAAGACAACGCUAGUACAAUACAAUAGAAUAGAAUAGUAAUAGUAGACUCCCUAUAAUACAAUAGAAUAGUAAUAGUAGACUCCCUUUAUGUACUAAACUCAUCGCUAGUACAAUACAAUACAUAGUAGACUUACUCCUAGUCUUGUCUUUCUUUAUGUACUAAACUAAUACUGUGCAAGGAAAUGUCCUAAACUAAUACUGUGCAAGGAAAGACCCACAAAAAAGGGGAAGCAAGGACCCGAAUAGUCAGAGGCCAAAGAUUCAAAGGAGAAGGAAGCACGGGUAAAGAUUUCUAGUAAAGAAUUCCAAGAGAGCAGACGUAGGCAAGUGAAGACAGAUGAGGAUGGCUAAACUAAGCAAUGCUGCGAAAGCAGACCACUCCCACGAACGCAAUCCGGGAUCGCUUUAUUCCGUAAGUUCCAAGUCUACUAAAUCAGUAGACGACAAGCUGUAACGAAUGAAGACGACCCGAGAGCCAUUCUUUCGAAAGCAGCAGCUGCGGAUACAGGCGAUGCCCCGUAAGCAAGUACUCUCAUUAUGCACUGCACAGUCAAUCACGCACUGAUCCUUCCUAUAAACCUCAAUUAGUGAAAUGGAAUCUCUUCGUCAGAAUCAUCCUUCUCUUUCAUGAGAUUAGCAUUUUGCUCUCUCUUCAUUGCAUUCGGCAUGAUCAGGGGGUUGGUUGGUUUACCCCUUCCUUCUUUGGUGGGCCUUCCUGCCAGACAUAAUGUUUCUGCCUUGUCUGUAAAACUUCCUUAAUAGUGUAUUUGAAAAUCAUAUGUUUGAUACAGACUUAUUAAGAAGGAUUGUGCUCCUGGGCCUGGAGAUUCUGGUCUUUGUACUGAUGGUAUCUAUUCUCAAAUAACGGAAAUUAGCUCUAUCGCGCAGCUAACGGCUGUUUUCAUUCACAAUCCCUGCGGUUGAAGAAGGUCCAAUGUACAGGUAAGUGAAACUGCCCUGGAAAAGCUUGAGAUAGGUGCUUCCAGCUUAAGUACAUGGGGAAUAGAGGUCCUAUAGUUUAUUGGCUCUUAGGUGGACUGUCCCUGUAGCUAAAGUCAAGCCGAGUUCGCCUUCGCAUUUUCUCUUUUUUGAGACAGGGGGAGACCUAACAAACUCUCUAUGUUUGUCCUUGCAGCUAACAAGUUGGAAGUCUUCCCGGAGUACCUGUUAGCUGUUCUAGUUCAGAACUGUAUGGGACCUCUUGCUUAGGGCGGUGUAAGCAACCCGGCAGAAGUGGAUCGGAAGUGUCCUCUUUCACAAAGGUAGUCUUAGCAGCCUAAGUAAUAGUAAGCUAAGCCUAAGUAAUAGUAAGCUAAGCCUAAGUAAUAGUAAGCUAAGCCUAAGUAACAGUAAGCUAAUAAGUCAAGAAAGAAGGUGUAGCGAGAGAGCUCAUUUGUUUACGAUUCUAUUCAUUGAAGUCGCCUAAGUCAAUUUCCAUUAAAGUAGGACGAGAAGGGAGAUGAGAAGCCCUCUGGAAUAAGAAAGACCCCAAGUGAGCCCAAGCAGCCUUAAGAAAGUCAAGGAGGUGCGCUGCACUCAUAAGGUUGAUUGAGAAGCCCGUUCGUGAGUCCGUUAAGCAUUUAAUAAAGAGAGACUCGCUCAUAAAGUAGGUUGAGCGGUGAAUUCUAUGAAUCGAGCCCAGCCCCGUCUUAGUAAUUAACUAAGAGAUAUUCGUUCAUCUUCUCAACAAACGUUCAUCUUCUCCACUAAUAAUUCGAAAAUCCAGAAUCGGCUCAAAUCUCUGAAUCGGCUAAUUGUUCUCUGAUAGCGCCUGCUCCAGUAUAGAUUUCUCGAUUUCUAAAUGUAUCUAAGCCUUGGAAAAAGGGUAGUAUGCUGUAUUUCCGAGAUUGGAUUUCAUAUUCGAAUAAACCUCGUAAUCGUAAGCAAAGUCAAGUAGGCUUUUGAGCUAUGGGCCUAGCAUAAUCCAAAUCGAUAUAGGUUCCUGUAGGAUUGGAAUU
rnacentral:lncRNA from 1 species